rnacentral:tRNA from 1 species
CGUGCGGCUCGGGGGCGGUCACCGGCCUUCGUCCGGCUCGGGGCCGGUCGCCCGCCCUCGUCCGGCCCGCGGCCGGACGCC